rnacentral:rRNA from 1 species
CAGCAGCCGCCGCGGGAAUACGGAGGGUGCAAGCGUUAUCCGGAUUUACUGGGUUUAAAGGGUGCGUAGGCGGACUUGUAAGUCCGAGGUGAAAUCUCUGAGCUUAACUCGGAAACUGCCUUGGAUACUAUAGGUCUUGAAUCUCGUUGAGGUUUGCGGAAUAUGUCAUGUAGCGGUGAAAUGCUUAGAUAUGACAUAGAACACCUAUUGCGAAGGCAGCAGGCUAAACGAGUAUUGACGCUGAUGCACGAAAGCGUGGGGAUCAAACAGGAUUAGAUACCCCCGUAGUCCCUGUCUCUUAUAA